AAGCCAGACUCCUACGGGAGGCAGCAGUGGGGAAUAUUGCACAAUGGGGGAAACCCUGAUGCAGCGACGCCGCGUGAGCGAUGAAGUAUUUCGGUCUGUAAAUCUCUAUCAGCAGGGAAGAAGAUGACGGUACCUGACUAAGAAGCCCCGGCUAACUACGUGCCAGCAGCCGCGGUAAUACGUAGGGGGCAAGCGUUAUCCGGAUUUACUGGGUGUAAAGGGAGCGUAGACGGCAGCGCAAGCCUGGAGUGAAAGGAUGGGGCCCAACCCCAUGACUGCUCUGGGAACUGCGCGGCUGGGGUGCCGGAGGGGUAAGCGGAAUUCCUAGUGUAGCGGUGAAAUGCGUAGAUAUCAGGAGGAACACCGGCGGCGAAGGCGGCCUGCUGGACCGUGACUGACGUUGAGGCUCGAGAGCGUGGGGAGCAAACAGGAUUAGAUACCCCAGUACC
rnacentral:rRNA from 1 species